rnacentral:rRNA from 1 species
UAUGUAGGGUGCAAGCGUUGUCCGGAAUUAUUGGGCGUAAAGAGCUCGUAGGCGGUUUGUCGCGUCUGCUGUGAAAACUCGGGGCUCAACCCCGAGCUUGCAGUGGGUACGGGCAGACUAGAGUGCGGUAGGGGAGACUGGAAUUCCUGGUGUAGCGGUGGAAUGCGCAGAUAUCAGGAGGAACACCGGUGGCGAAGACGGGUCUCUGGGCCGUAACUGACGCUGAGGAGCGAAAGCAUGGGGAGCGAACAGG